GACACGAUGGCCGAGUGGUCUAAGGCGGUAGAUUUAAGCUUUGCUUGGAUCUCUACUACAGUAAUGUGCGUGGGUAUGUAUCUUCCGCAACCUCUUGACUAUGUGGAAAAUAUGCUAACAGAGGUAUUAGGUUCGAACCCCACUCGUGUCA
rnacentral:tRNA from 1 species